rnacentral:rRNA from 1 species
CAAGUCGUGGGGCAGCAUGACUGUAGCAAUACAGUUGAUGACGACCGGCAAACGGGUGCGGAACACGUACACAACCUUCCUUUAAGUGGGGAAUAGCCCGGGGAAACCCGGAUUAAUACCCCGUAAUAUAAUGAAGUGGCAUCACUUUAUUAUUAUAGCAGCAAUGCGCUUUAAGAUGGGUGUGCGACUGAUUAGGCAGUUGGCGGGGUAACGGCCCACCAAACCUACGAUCAGUAACUGGUGUGAGAGCACGACCAGUCACACGGGCACUGAGACACGGGCCCGACUCCUACGGGAGGCAGCAGUAAGGAAUAUUGGUCAAUGGACGCAAGUCUGAACCAGCCAUGCCGCGUGGAGGAUGAAGGUCCUCUGGAUUGUAAACUUCUUUUAUUUGGGAAGAAAUCCACGAAUUCUUUUGUGGUUGACGGUACAGAUGAAUAAGCACCGGCUAACUCCGUGCCAGCAGCCGCGGUAAUACGGAGGGUGCAAGCGUUAUCCGGAUUCACUGGGUUUAAAGGGUGCGUAGGUGGGUUGGUAAGUCAGUGGUGAAAUCUCCAGGCUUAACUUGGAAACUGCCAUUGAUACUAUCAAUCUUGAAUACCGUGGAGGUCAGCGGAAUAUGUCAUGUAGCGGUGAAAUGCUUAGAUAUGACAUAGAACACCAAUUGCGAAGGCAGCUGGCUACACGAAUAUUGACACUGA